rnacentral:rRNA from 1 species
GACGAACGCUGGCGGCGUGCUUAACACAUGCAAGUCGAACGGAAAGGCCUGCUUUCCCUUGUGGAUUGCGGGUACUCGCGUGGCGAACGGGUGAGUAACACGUGAGUGAUCUGCCCCCAACUUGGGUAUAAGCCUGGGAAACUGGGUCUAAUUCCCGAUAGGACUGCAGGGUGGUGCCUGUGGUGGAAAACGAUUUUCUAGUGGUUGGGGAUGAGCUCGCGGCCUAUCAGCUUGUUGGUGGGGUAAUGGCCUACCAAGGCGGCGACGGGUAGCCGGCCUGAGAGGGUGGACGGCCGCAUUGGGACUGAGAUACGGCCCAGACUCCGACGGGAGGCAGCAGUGGGGAAGAAUGCACAAUGGGCGGAAGCCUGAUGCAGCGACGCCGCGUGGGGGAUGACGGCCUUCGGGUUGUAAACUCCUUGCGACCGCGAGGAAGCCACCUGGUUGGAAGGGUGGUGACGGUAGUGGUAGAAGAAGCACCGGCUAACUACGUG